rnacentral:lncRNA from 1 species
CUUCUGUGUCCUCCACACCACACAUGGAGACAUACAUGUACAGACACAUGGAUGCAUGCAGACACACACGCGUGCACAGACACGCACUCACGCAGACAGGCACGGACACACACAGAUGCACGUGUACAUGGACCCAGACACAGACAUGCACGGACACAGACACCCACCCGUGCAUAGACGUGCUCACGCGGACAUGCACAGACACACACACGCACACGUACACAGAUGCACACAGACAUGCACGGACACACAUGCACACGUACACAGAUGCACACACACAGACAUGCACGGACACACACAUGCACACGUACACAGAUGCGCACGGACACACACGCACACGUACACAGAUGCACACAGACAUGCAUGGACACACAUGCACACGUACACAGAUGCACACACACAGACAUGCACGGACACACACGCACAUGUACACAGAUGCACACACACAGACAUGCACGGACACACACAGAUGAACACAUACACGGACCCAGACACGCAGACAUGCACGGACACAGACACGCACGUGUACACAGACGCACACACUCACGCAGACAUGCACGGACACACGUGUACACAGUGCAGACUCAGAGCCGUGCCCCCAUGCUCCCCUGGGGAAGGCCCUCUCUUCCUGGCCUUAGGCCCCUGGGAUGCCAGUCGGCUGUGGUCAGGUGGUGCAGGCAGCAGCUCCGGCCCGUCCGCUCCCGUGGACUAUGAGUCUG